UACGUAGGGGGCAAGCGUUGUCCGGAUUUAUUGGGCGUAAAGAGCGUGUAGGCGGCCAUACAGGUCCGUUGUGAAAACUGGAGGCUUAACCUCCAGACGUCGAUGGAAACCGUAUGGCUAGAGUCCGGAAGAGGAGAGUGGAAUUCCUGGUGUAGCGGUGAAAUGACGCAGAUAUCAGGAAGAACACCCGUGGCGAAGGCGGCUCUCUGGGACGGUACUGACGCUGAGACGCGAAAGCGUGGGGAGCGAACAGG
rnacentral:rRNA from 1 species